UACGGGGGGGGCAAGCGUUGUUCGGAAUUACUGGGCGUAAAGGGUGCGUAGGCGGUCCGCUAAGUUGGAUGUGAAAACUCUGGGCUUAACCCAGAGCCUGCAUUCAAAACUGACGGGCUAGAGUUCUGGAGGGGGUAGCGGAAUUCCUGGUGUAGCGGUGAAAUGCGUAGAUAUCAGGAGGAACACCGGUGGCGAAGGCGGCUACCUGGACAGAAACUGACGCUGAGGAGCGAAAGCGUGGGGAGCGAACAGG
rnacentral:rRNA from 1 species